UACGUAGGGGGCAAGCGUUGUCCGGAUUUAUUGGGCGUAAAGAGCUCGUAGGCGGUUCCGUAAGUCGAGUGUGAAAAAUCUGGGCUCAACCCAGUGGAGCACUCGAUACUGCGGUGACUGGAGUACGGUAGAGGAGUGUGGAAUUCCAGGUGUAGCGGUGAAAUGCGUAGAUAUCUGGAGGAACACCGGUGGCGAAGGCGGCAUCCUGGACCAACACUGACACUGAGGAGCGAAAGCCAGGGGAGCAAACGGG
rnacentral:rRNA from 1 species